UACAGGGGGGGCAAGCGUUGUUCGGAAUUACUGGGCGUAAAGCGCACGCAGGUGGCUGAGUCAGUCGAUUGUGAAAGCCCUGGGCUUAACCUGGGAAUUGCAGUCGAUACUACUCAGCUAGAGUAUGGGAGAGGGUAGUGGAAUUCCCGGUGUAGCGGUGAAAUGCGUAGAUAUCGGGAGGAACAUCAGUGGCGAAGGCGGCUACCUGGCCCAAUACUGACACUCAGGUGCGACAGCGUGGGGAGCAAACAGG
rnacentral:rRNA from 1 species